GACAAACGCUGGCGGCGUGCCUAACACAUGCAAGUCGAGCGGAGAAAGUUCUUCGGAACUUUCUUAGCGGCGGACGGGUGAGUAACACGUGGGUAACCUGCCUUAUAGAGGGGGAUAGCCUUCCGAAAGGAAGAUUAAUACCGCAUAAUAUUUUUGUUUCGCAUGAAAUGAAAAUCAAAGGAGCAAUCCGCUAUGAGAUGGACCCGCGGCGCAUUAGCUAGUUGGUGAGGUAACGGCUCACCAAGGCGACGAUGCGUAGCCGACCUGAGAGGGUGAUCGGCCACAUUGGAACUGAGAUACGGUCCAGACUCCUACGGGAGGCAGCAGUGGGGAAUAUUGCACAAUGGGGGAAACCCUGAUGCAGCAACGCCGCGUGAGUGAUGAAGGCCUUCGGGUUGUAAAGCUCUGUCUUCGGGGACGAUAAUGACGGUACCCGAGGAGGAAGCCACGGCUAACUACGUGCCAGCCGCCGCGGUAAAAC
rnacentral:rRNA from 1 species